GACGAACGCUGGCGGCGCGCUUAACACAUGCAAGUCGAACGGUGAAGCGAGUGCUUGCACUCGUGGAUCAGUGGCGAACGGGUGAGUAACACGUGAGUAACCUGCCCAUCACUCUGGGAUAAGCACUGGAAACGGUGUCUAAUACUGGAUACGACCAACCCUUGCAUGGGGUGUUGGUGGAAAGAUUUAUCGGUGAUGGAUGGACUCGCGGCCUAUCAGCUUGUUGGCGGGGUAAUGGCCCACCAAGGCGACGACGGGUAGCCGGCCUGAGAGGGUGACCGGCCACACUGGGACUGAGACACGGCCCAGACUCCUACGGGAGGCAGCAGUGGGGAAUAUUGCACAAUGGGCGAAAGCCUGAUGCAGCGACGCCGCGUGAGGGAUGACGGCCUUCGGGUUGUAAACCUCUUUCAGCAGGGAAGAAGCGAAAGUGACGGUACCUGCAGAAGAAGCACCGGCUAACUACGUG
rnacentral:rRNA from 1 species